UAAUUACAACAAGUCAAUGAUUACAAAAAUGACGAUAACUCUAGAAAGGCUGCCACUCGUUUUUGGUUUUGUACUGGGCCUACUUUGUCAAAUAGCUACAGGGAAUCCAUAUCAUGUAAACAAAGACAACACCUUUCCGCUGUUUGUUCAUGACAAUAUUGAAUGGCUUUAAUGGCACAGGAUCACAUGAAUAGCCUCUUGAGCAAGCAGCUGGCUAACCAUGAUGGGUACACACUCAUGUAUACAAUCUGCUGAGGCCUUGAUCUGAAUAGUCUGGAGUACACCACCCCUUCUCCCCUGCAGGUCUGGAGUACACCACCCCUUCUCCCCUGCAGGUCUGGAGUACACCACCCCUUCUCCCCUGCAGGUCUGGAGUACACCACCCCUUCUCCCCUGCAGGUCUGGAGUACACCACCCCUUCUCCCCUGCAGGUCUGGAGUACACCACCCCUUCUCCCCUGCAGGUCUGGAGUACACCACCCCUUCUCCCCUGCAGGUCUGGAGUACACCACCCCUUCUCCCCUGCAGGUCUGGAGUACACCACCCCUUCUCCCCUGCAGGUCUGGAGUACACCACCCCUUCUCCCCUGCAGGUCUGGAGUACACCACCCCUUCUCCCCUGCAGGUCUGGAGUACACCACCCCUUCUCCCCUGCAGGUCUGGAGUACACCACCCCUUCUCCCCUGCAGGUCUGGAAGGUGCAGUAGCUCUGGUCUACAGGGUGCUGGUCUGUUCCUGUGAGGUGCAGUAGCUCUGGUCUACAGGGUGCUGGUCUGUUUCUGUGAGGUGCAGUAGCUCUGGUCUACAGGGUGCUGGUCUGUUUCUGUGAGGUGCAGUAAGCUCUGGUCUACAGGGUGCUGGUCUGUUUCUGUGGGGUGCAGUAGCUCUGGUCUACAGGGGGCUGGUCUGUUUCUGUGAGGUGCAGUAGCUCUGGUCUACAGGGUGCUGGUCUGUUUCUGUGAGGUGCAGUAGCUCUGGUCUACAGGGUGCUGGUCUGUUUCUGUGAGGUGCAGUAGCUCUGGUCUACAGGGUGCUGGUCUGUUUCUGUGAGGUGCAGUAGCUCUGGUCUACAGGGUGCUGGUCUGUUUCUGUGAGGUGCAGUAACUCUGGUCUACAGGGUGCUGGUCUGUUUCUGUGAGGUGCAGUAGCUCUGGUCUACAGGGUGCUGUUUCUGUGGGGUGCAGUAGCUCUGGUCUACAGGGGGCUGGUCUGUUUCUGUGAGGUGCAGUAGCUCUGGUCUACAGGGUGCUGGUCUGUUUCUGUGAGGUACAGUAGCUCUGGGCCCGUAACCAUAAAGCAUCUCAGAGUCAUAGUGAUGAUCUAGGGUCAGUUAUGCCUUCUAAAUCAUAAUGAAUUAGAGGGUGGACCUGAUCCUAGAUCAGCACUCCUACAGUACUCUGAGACACUUUGUGAAUACAGACACAGGUUGCCGGUCUGUUUCAAUGAGCUUAUUAUGGGUUAUAUUGGUUACCCAUAAAGUUAGAAAGCAUUGAAAAUGUGUGCCAACCUAAAGCUCUGUAUUCACAAUGGAAAAGACCUGAAUCACCUCCUUCCUACCACAGAGGAUAUGUGUGGAUUGUAUCAACAUCAAUCUCUCUGAAGAAUCUUUCACUUCAUGUGUUAUAUUACCAGCAUCCCUCUGACCACCACUCUGUUCUCCUCCUCUCAGAUCUUCUGGGGUCUGGGCGGUGCCACCCCGGGGAAGAUCCUCCUGGGUCUUCAAGUCGUGACAUGUGACAGCUCAGUCCUGGUCCGACCCAACCGGGUCCUGGUGUUACCAGGAUCUAACGUCACCCUAUCUGCGUCAGUCGCUGACUACAUGUGACACAUCUUGGUUAGCGUUGAAAACAGAUAUGAAUAUGUUUGUUUGGCCUACAGUCAUCUACCACUGGUACUACUACUACGUUUCCAUAUGGACAGGUGUGACCAUGAAUGCCUGGAGCCUGAGUGUUGUAAAUGAAAGGCACACUGGAGCCUGAGUGUUGUAAAUGAAAGGCACACUGGAGCCUGAGUGUUGUAAAUGAAAGGCACACUGGAGCCUGAGUGUUGUAAAUGAAAGGCACACUGGAGCCUGAGUGUUGUAAAUGAAAGGCACACUGGAGCCUGAGUGUUGUAAAUGAAAGGCACACUGGAGCCUGAGUGUUGUAAAUGAAAGGCACACUGGAGCCUGAGUGUUGUAAAUGAAAGGCACACUGGAGCCUGAGUGUUGUAAAUGAAAGGCACACUGGAGCCUGAGUGUUGUAAAUGAAAGGCACACUGGAGCCUGAGUGUUGUAAAUGAAAGGCACACUGGAGCCUGAGUGUUGUAAAUGAAAGGCACACUGGAGCCUGAGUGUUGUAAAUGAAAGGCACACUGGAGCCUGAGUGUUGUAAAUGAAAGGCACACUGGAGCCUGAGUGUUGUAAAUGAAAGGCACACUGGAGCCUGAGUGUUGUAAAUGAAAGGCACACUGGAGCCUGAGUGUUGUAAAUGAAAGGCACACUGGAGCCUGAGUGUUGUAAAUGAAAGGCACACUGGAGCCUGAGUGUUGUAAAUGAAAGGCACACUGGAGCCUGGGUGAUGUAAAUGAAAGGCACACUGGAGCCUGGGUGAUGUAAAUGAGUAUUGUGAGUUUAUAAGGUACAACAUAAAGGUGAAGCCAAUCUCCUGAGAUGGAGAAAGUUGUCUUUGAAAGUGGGUUUUAAUGCCGAUCUACAUUUGAGUCAUUUAGCAGACUUCUUAUCCUGAGCGAUUCACAAUAGUAAGUACAUACAUUUUUUUGUUACUUUUUCAUACUAGUCCCCUGUUGCACGUGCCAUGCUCUACCAACUGAGUCAGUUUGACAAAUAACCCUUGUUUUGGUAGCAGUUCAUUUUCUGGUAUUGUUUCCACUGAUAUUAACCUGGUAUUACAUGUUUUAGUUUGCUAUGUAAUUAGUAUUAUUUAUUAUCAUGUCUUGUAAAAGUAACAUCCAACCCAUUCUCUCCCCUCCCAGCUCCACGGUGCGGUCGUCAUCCAACCCAUUCUCUCCCCUCCCAGCUCCACGGUGCGGUCGUCAUCCAACCCAUUCUCUCCCCUCCCAGCUCCACGGUGCGGUCGUCAUCCAACCCAUUCUCUCCCCUCCCAGCUCCACGGUGCGGUCGUCAUCCAACCCAUUCUCUCCCCUCCCAGCUCCACGGUGCGGUCGUCAUCCAACCCAUUCUCUCCCCUCCCAGCUCCACGGUGCGGUCAUCAUCCAACCCAUUCUCUCCCCUCCCAGCUCCACGGUGCGGUCGUCAUCCAACCCAUUCUCUCCCCUCCCAGCUCCACGGUGCGGUCGUCAUCCAACCCAUUCUCUCCCCUCCCAGCUCCACGGUGCGGUCAUCAUCCAACCCAUUCUCUCCCCUCCCAGCUCCACGGUGCGGUCGUCAUCCAACCCAUUCUCUCCCCUCCCAGCUCCACGGUGCGGUCGUCAUCCAACCCAUUCUCUCCCCUCCCUGCUCCACGGUGCGGUCGUCAUCCAACCCAUUCUCUCCCCUCCCAGCUCCACGGUGCGGGUUGUUGAAUAAGAACUUCUCCAUCGCCUUCCUGUUCUCCAUCUUCACCACCUUCUUCUUCUUUCAACACAGCAGGACUGUCUAUGAUAUCGUAGCUGGAACCAUCGUGGUGCAGCACAGAGGGGUUAGAUGACUGAUACCCUUUACAUCAAUGUCGUGUCGAGUAGGGCACACCAACACUUUGCAACGGAAAAUGAAAACGUGUUCUGUUUCACUAACUUUGGAAGAAAAGAAAAAUCUCUCUAUUGAACAAAACCCAAACCGUGGGCUUCUGGAACUGAACAGAACGCCUGUAGAACAGAUCUAGGCCUACAGACCUGAGAGAGGGAGAUCUGCCCAUGGAUACAUACGACUCAGACUGAAUUCCACUCAGGACAGGAGGAGCCUGAUACAAUGUGAUGUAGAAGUAUUAUGGGGAAGCCUCAGAACAGAACAUGGCUGUGUUUUGUCUUCUUCAUUCACAGAGUAUUGUUCCUGAACUUUUUCCUAUUUACUGCUUAGCCAGACAAGCAGAAUGAAUCUGAAAGGAAUGUUAGGUAAUUUAUUAGUUUAUUUAUUGUUCGUUUACAGCUAUAUGGAUAAGGGAUGUUUCAGGUCAGGUUGAAAGGUGAAAUGUGACGGGCUUGUUUGCAUAUUGGCCAUUUUGCAUAUUCUAAAUGAAACUGAACUGAAAACUA